UGGGGAAUUUUGGACAAUGGGCGAAAGCCUGAUCCAGCAAUGCCGCGUGUGUGAAGAAGGCCUUCGGGUUGUAAAGCACUUUUGUCCGGAAAGAAAUCCUUGGCUCUAAUACAGUCGGGGGAUGACGGUACCGGAAGAAUAAGCACCGGCUAACUACGUGCCAGCAGCCGCGGUAAUACGUAGGGUGCAAGCGUUAAUCGGAAUUACUGGGCGUAAAGCGUGCGCAGGCGGUUUGCUAAGACCGAUGUGAAAUCCCCGGGCUCAACCUGGGAACUGCAUUGGUGACUGGCAGGCUAGAGUAUGGCAGAGGGGGGUAGAAUUCCACAUGUAGCAGUGAAAUGCGUAGAGAUGUGGAGGAAUACCGAUGGCGAAGGCAGCCCCCUGGGCCAAUACUGACGCUCAUGCACGAAAGCGUGGGGAGCAAACAGGAUUAGAUACCCUGGUAGUCCACGCCCUAAACGAUGUCAACUAGUUGUUGGGGAUUCAUUUCCUUAGUAACGUAGCUAACGCGUGAAGUUGACCGCCUGGGGAGUACGGUCGCAAGAUUAAAACUCAAAGGAAUUGAC
rnacentral:rRNA from 1 species